rnacentral:rRNA from 1 species
UACGAAGGGGGCUAGCGUUGCUCGGAAUCACUGGGCGUAAAGCGCACGUAGGCGGCUCUUUAAGUCGGGGGUGAAAUCCUGGAGCUCAACUCCAGAACUGCCUUCGAUACUGAAGAGCUCGAGUCCGGGAGAGGUGAGUGGAACUGCGAGUGUAGAGGUGAAAUUCGUAGAUAUUCGCAAGAACACCAGUGGCGAAGGCGGCUCACUGGCCCGGUACUGACGCUGAGGUGCGAAAGCGUGGGGAGCAAACAGG